AUUCUGGAAGAAAAGGAGAAUGUUUGCUAUACAACUGCUCAUUUUGAUGGAACAAACUGCAUAACAGAUAUGUUGUUUUUGAUCAUAGCCAAAAAUGACAGUAUUGGGUGGAUAAAGGAGAACACUAGAAUAAACGUACAGAUACAUGGUUUGAAGCUGACUGGGCUACGGAUGAAUAGAUGUGUCAGGAUAUAGAUUUCGUUCUUUAUGUUAUUAUUUUCAUGGAAUGGUCCAGAUUUCAGCACAGCAAAUACUGUGUCUGGCAUAGCCUCCCUCAAUUUAAAGAUGCACUACAAGGCAAAUUGGCCAGUGUUAACAAGUGUUCAUUUUCUUGGUGUUACAUUUUUAGUGUUAAGAGGUGUUGAUUUAAGAGUUGUUUUUACACCCUCUCCCAGGUGAGAGGUUGGGCGGUGGCACUGAGCAGGGUUGAUUGAGCUCCCGGUGUUAACUUGAAACUUCCUUUUCAUCUAAUUGCCGACGGUGCAAGGGCAGCUGGAAUUGCGCAGCAUUGAAAGGAGUGCAGUGUAACCCGUAGGUGAAGGUCCAAUACCAGAAAUGCAAGAAGUUCAUGAAGUUGCAGCCUGGGUUCUCUUAUGGAGAUUUAAUCAAUCAAGUCCAAAAUAUGUUUGGACUGCCCUCUGUAGCACAAAUACACAUUUUUGAUGAUUCCCAAACUGAGGUGGAGGAGGAUGUCCUGCUGGACCUGAUUGAGGCCAAUCCAGACCUGUGUCUCACAAUCAAAGAUCUUUGAUGAAGACUUUUCUCCUGCAGGCUGUUCGACACCUAGUUCGUGCACAGACACAUUAUCCCUCUCGUCAAGUGAUUUAGACCUGAGAUCUCCAGAAAGACCGUCUAAAAAGGCCAACACAACCUUAGGAGAUGAGGCCAUCGACUCCGCAGCAGCAAAAGAGAUGGUCCGUGAUGCCCUGACUAGUAGACCUGGUGGGCAAGACGUAUUAAAAGAGUACCAGACAACCUAAACAUUGGACCACAGAACCAGGAGAGAACUUCCAUCUUA